rnacentral:rRNA from 1 species
UUGAACGCCGGCGGCAUGCCUUACACAUGCAAGUCGAACGGUAGAGGGGCAACCCUUGAGAGUGGCGAACGGGUGAGUAAUAUAUCGGAACGUGCCCAGUCGUGGGGGAUAACGCAGCGAAAGCUGCGCUAAUACCGCAUACGAUCUAUGGAUGAAAGCGGGGGAUCGCAAAGACCUCGCGCGAUUGGAGCGGCCGAUAUCAGAUUAGGUAGUUGGUGGGGUAA